UACGGGGGGGGCAAGCGUUGUUCGGAAUUACUGGGCGUAAAGGGCUCGUAGGCGGCCAACUAAGUCAGACGUGAAAUCCCUCGGCUUAACCGGGGAACUGCGUCUGAUACUGGAUGGCUUGAGUUCGGGAGAGGGAUGCGGAAUUCCAGGUGUAGCGGUGAAAUGCGUAGAUAUCUACAGGAACUCCGGUGGCGAAGGCGGCGUGCUGGAUCUCUUCUGACGCUGAGGCGCGAAAGCUAGGGGAGCAAACGGG
rnacentral:rRNA from 1 species